GCCCUCUUCGGGAGGAUUCGGUGCUGAAGCGAAGGCGAAGAGUGAGCUACCUGGGAAGUAUAGUCGCAAGAUCGAAACUUAAAGGAAUUGGCGGGGAGACAUACAACGAGUGACGCGUGCGGUUCAAUUAGAUUUUACACCGUGAACCUCACCAGGAGCGACAGCAGGAUGAAGGUCAGUCUGAAGGGCUUACCUGACACGCUGAGCGGAGAUGCAUGGCCGACGUCAGCCUGUGCUGUGAAGUGACCUGUUAAAUCAGGUAACAGGCGAGACCCGUGUCGAUAAUUACUACAGAAAUGGGUACCUUAUCGAGACUGCCUUGGUAACAAGGAGGAAGGUGCGGGCUACGUUAGGUGAGUACGUCCCUAAUCCCCUGGGCUACACGCGCGCGGCAAUGGUAUGUUCAAAUGGAUGCGACUCCGAGAGGAGAAGCUAAUCCCCUAACGCAUAUCUCAGUCCAGAUUGAGGGUUGCAACCCACCCUCAUGACGAUGGAAUUCGUAGUAAUCGGAUAUUAGCACUGGCCGGUGAAUAAGUCCCUGUCUCUUGCACACACCGCCCGUCAAACCAACCGAGUUGUGUAGGGAUGAAGCCCUUUUUGGGAAAAAUCUUUUCACGACAAGGUAGGUUAAGUCGUAACAAGGUAGCC
rnacentral:rRNA from 1 species